GUUCAGUUGUCUAUAGAUGUGUAAUAACUUCAUUUAUUAGUGAGCAUACAAUCACAAUGUUUUAUACAGCAAGGCAAGAUCAUAUAAGCCAUAAGGGGCAGGUUAUUUUUUCUGCUGAAUAGAUGAAAUUCCAGACAAUGCUACAUUAAAAGUCUGCAAACUCAAUGCUUACAACAUUUUUUUUUAAUUGCCUUGUAUAUUCUCAAGUUAUUUUUUACUGUAACAUGCAUAACAGGAAACUUGGUUCUGCAUAUAUGAUGAAAAACCACGACGGACAAUGACCUUUGGCAAUGAUCACAUGUAAGCCCAGUCGCUCAAACCUCAGACGAAGUACACAGACGAAUCUUAAUCCAUGAUUCCAGAUAUUGCAACUCCUGAUCGAUUAUUGAAUGGCCAAGACCAGGAUAUGCCUGCAAAAUUAUGUAUGGCAAUUUUCUUAGAAGUUGAACAACAACUAACAGAAAAUUUGGGAGAGUAAAUUACCUUAAACUCACAGCUUAUGCCAGCUUUUUCGAGGAAAGGGAGCCCUGCUUGUCCAGCUUCAAACAAUACUGUUCUGUCAGCAAUUCCGUGUGACCACAAAAUAGGUGUCUUUUUCGCAUCUGAUGGAAUCUGUUCCAUGUUAGAAGAAUUGAAAGGAACCCAUCCACUGAAGACUGCACCCCCUCCUAGAGUCUUCGGGUACAGCAAAACACUAGCCAAGGUCAAGGAACCUGCAAAAGAAUUGACAGAUUUUCCAAGAUCGCAAGUGAAAACAAAGAUCAUUUUUUUAUGUUUAGAGACACAAAGAGACACCUACCUCCUUGACUAAAUCCACACACGAAUAUGUUAUCAGGAUUUGUCCCUGCAGCUAUUUCCUGGUCUAUCAUUGCAUGUACAUUCUGAACUGCUUUCAGCACCCCACUUUCGUCUUUUGGAGAAUCAGCUGUUAUGGGAAUCUCAUGGAUGUCGAACCAUGAAGGCAUUACAGCGCCAUCUACAAAGACGAGCAAAUUAUCAAAUCUAAAUUAACUUUUUAUGAGGUCGCAUCCUUUGUAAAUCAUGCUAAUCUUAUUCCAUAGUUUUUACAUCAAACUAAAACAAUGGAAAAAGAAAAGGAACAAAAAUCCCUUCAAUAUCUGUUAGUACCCAGUAAUGAAGAGAAGAUGAUGAACAAACGCACACAUUCUCCGCACAUUUCACCUCGUAUAACACAGAACAACAUUAAUCCUAAGACCACCAUAAUGGAUUUCAACACAUUCUACCUUAUAUGACAAACCAUUAAUGAUCACUUGGUUGUCCCUCAUAAUCAGUCGAAAACUUUUGACCAUUGAACUGAAAAGCUGCUUGCAGCUAUCAAAGGAAUUUAUCAAAAGGAUCUAAGCUUGCUCAUUAGAAACAUCAAAAGGAGAUUCAAAACGGAAGACCAAAUCAAUGCAUCACAAUAAUUAAAGGGCUUAAUACAACUAUAUAAUCAGUUAUUUCAUCAAAUCACCAAACAAGAUUUUUACCUAACAAAGCAAAAUAGAAAAGAAAAACCCUCAAUUACAUAUAAAAGAAAACACACGCGCACUUAUAAUGCAUGCAAGUAGCCGUGAUAGAGCUUACAGUUGCAGGUGACUGGGUUAUUAGGAGCAGAAGGGAAAGACCAUUUGGUAGUUGCAAACUGAGGAGAAGUGAAGAGAGUUUUGAUGGGUUCAUUGGCAGGACCUGAAUCACCUAAUCCAUGAAGCCAAAGAAUAAAGCUACGAGCCAUGGAGUGUUGUUUUUGAGAAGGAGAUGGAUUUGGCUGGAAGAACACUAUAAACACAAGCGUGCUGCAGAGGACCACCGAAAAUAGUACAAUUGGCCCUGAUUUCAUUAGCAUUUUCGGUCUUCUAUGGCGAUGCCUUUUAUUUAAGUUUUCGCGACCGGUGGAAAUGGAUGUAAAAUUACUUGGAUUACCCCUCUG
rnacentral:misc_RNA from 1 species